UACGUAGGGUGCGAGCGUUAAUCGGAAUUACUGGGCGUAAAGCGUGCGCAGGCGGUUUUGUAAGACAGGUGUGAAAUCCCCGGGCUUAACCUGGGAACUGCAUUUGUGACUGCAAGACUAGAGUGUGGCAGAGGAGGGUAGAAUUCCACGUGUAGCAGUGAAAUGCGUAGAUAUGUGGAGGAAUACCGAUGGCGAAGGCGGCAUCCUGGACCAACACUGACGCUGAGGAGCGAAAGCCAGGGGAGCAAACGGG
rnacentral:rRNA from 1 species